rnacentral:lncRNA from 10 species
UUUAAAAUUCUGUCCAGUUUUUGUAUUUUUGAACGUUAGUCUUCCUUUGUUGUUUCUUCUGUUGUUUCAAAGUUUUGAGAACGCUGACGUUUAUCCAUAAAUAUAACUGCCUUAUCCUAUUAAAUAUAUAGUUUCUAUGGCUGUUCUUUAAAAUAUUUAGCACUUUAAUCCACUUGGUGUUUAUUUUGAAAUACGAUGUGAAACACAUUUUUGUCCUCCAAAUUUUCAUUCAUUUAUCUGCGCAUUCUUUACAUAGUUCAUCUUUUCUUACUGCCGUGUUUGGGAAUGUUAUUUUACUAUGUAUCCCAUCAGGAUUAAUGCGUGUGUUUGUUCAGUCUCAUUCCUUUCCGUUGAUCUCAGCUUCUAUUUUUGUUUCUGCUCUUAGUCACUGCCCAGCAGCGCCAAAGGAACAUCCCGCCCCCUGCAGGCAGCUGGUGUCCCCACAACCUGGGAAGCCUGGGGCAGGGCCUCAGGGGACUCCUGGUGUUAGUCCUCCGAGCCCGGGUGGACGUGUCGCUCUGUCCCUGCGGGAGGAUUCGGGGCCCCUUUGACAGGCCUCCUUCUAUGCCGGUUUCCUGGGGCCUCGAGCUUCCUGGGUUCCACGUCUCUAGUAACCAGUAGAGACGGGCCUUUACCCUGCCGUUGGGUGGGGACUGUCCCCUUCUGGGCUCUUCCUUUCGGGCCUUUCCACCUCUCCGACCCCAGGGCAUUCGCCCCACCACGUUGCCGGCACAGUGCUGGCUCCGCGGCCCGCGGUUCUGGCAGUCAGCGCGGAAUGCCAUGGCACCGAGCCUCUGUGUCUAGAUGAGUUCUGGGCGCUGAUUUUCCAGGUCACUCGGAAGCUGCUCUCUGGGCCCGCCUGUUUCCCUUCCCUUUGCCUCCUUGUCCCGCUUCCCUCGCAGUAUACCACUCACUGUACCCCUCCUAAAAAGGACCACUGCAGGAAGCGUUAUUGAAGCAGACACGGUUCAAACACGAAAAACAAACUCUUCUUUAUUCAACAGAUGUGCACGAAUCUAUUGUGUGUUAGAUACGGGUAAGUUUCUGAUAAGUCGUGCACUGAGCCAGUCCGGGCUCCUAGAACCGCGUUUACGUGCCGAAGUCUCAAUCAGAUUAAGAGCGUCUGGGGAGAGCGGGGCGGGGAUAGAAGGAGGUGUUGGGGCUAGGGGUAGGACUGUUCUGGAGGCGUGGGUAAGGGGGAGUGGGCUGUGCUGUGCGCCCCUCCCCUCGCUAUCUCCCCAUUCAUCCGCAGACCCGGGGCCCCACGCGCCGCUCCUGGGCAGGGCCGUGCACCCGGAAGGCGCCGAGGCGCGCCCAGCAGAGGGAGCAUGCGGGCAGGGCAUUCCGCGGGUACCCGCGGAGCAGGACGGCCACCCACGCCGGGGCCCCUGGGGCUCCACCCAGGACGCACACCCGGAGAGACCCAAUGACUGCGUUUCGCACCUGGGCGCAAGCUGGUUACUGGGCACGCGCUGACAACCCACAUCUGGAAAACCCGGUCCUAACUGGAGAAUAAAACUUAAAUGCACGUGAACUCACCGGCAGCUGAACAUUUCCGGGCUCUGGACCUGCCUCGGGUCAAGAAGGGCACAAAAGCGGGAUCAGAAGACCAAAGCUUUCCAAGCAGCUGUGUGGGGCAGCUGUGCAACUGAGACCAUGCUCAACCUUCCCUUCCUCAUCCCCUGUGAACUCUCUGAGGCCAGUCAAUUCCUGGGGUGGGACAUGCUGGUGGGUGGAAGGAAUGUGGGGAAGAGCUACCAGUUACACCAAAUAGAGAUUCAUCCAGGUUAACCAGCAGGUUUUUCAAACAUGCAAGUCCCUGAAAGGACUGAAAUAUAUGGGUACCAGAGUUAGUAGAGCCCCAGAAGGGGAAUCUGCCUGCAGGGUCUAUGCACAGAAGUUCUCUGGGCCCUGGGUCUCAGAGGCAUCUGGAAACACAAAGAGUGGGGCAGUGUUAUUCCUUACUACCCUCAGGGUGUGAGUGUACCUGCAGCUGAGCACAUUGAGUUAGGCCUUCAGGGCAGGCACAGAUCCAGAUUUAGACCCAGGGUGACCCAGGAGUUAGGCUUCCUCACCUUUUGACUCCUCUCCUCUCUAGCUAGUCUAUGUUUUUUCCCACCUGAGGUGUGGUAUUAUAGAAAUCAUUCCAUUUUGUAACUGCAAUAGCUUUAAGAAAAUGAAAUGGGUGGGACAAAGGGGUUAAUUUUUCACUUUUUACAUUUUGGUGUUAUAUGAGUUCUUAAAACGAGCCAGGGUUAUUUUUGUUAUUUUAUUUUAUUAUUUGAGAUGGGGUCUCACCCUGUCGCCCAGGCUAGAGUGCAGUGGUGCAAUCAUGGCUCGAUGCAACCUCAACUUCCCCUGGCUCAGGUGAUUCUCCCACCUCAGCCUCCCAAUAAGCUGGGACUAUAGUUGCAUGCCACCAUGCCUGGCUAAUUUUUGCAUUUUUUGUAAAGAUGGGGUUUUGCCAUGUUGCCCCUCAAAUUCCUCAGCACAAGCAAUCCUCAUGCUUUGGCCUCCCAAAGUGCUGGGAUUACAGGCAUGAGCCACCACCGCGCCCGGCUCCAAGAAAA